rfam:Arenibacter nanhaiticus strain CGMCC 1.8863 genome assembly, contig: Ga0066783_114
UUUAAAGAGGAAGGAUUUGACUGAUUGCAACCUCAAGGCUGAAUUUGUUUUUGUGACUGUUAUGGGAACGGAAAUAGGUUCGGCAUACUAAAAAUGCUAAAGCAGUUUAU